rnacentral:rRNA from 1 species
UUGUGUGGAGCCGACGUUGAAAUACCACCCUGGUGUGUUUGAGGUUCUAACCUUGGCCCGUUAUCCGGGUUGGGGACAGUGUAUGGUGGGCAGUUUGACUGGGGCGGUCUCCUCCCAAAUUGUAACGGAGGAGUACGAAGGUAUCCUAGGUACGGUCGGACAUCGUACUGAUAGUGCAAUGGCAAAAGGAUGCUUAACUGCGAGACUGACAAGUCGAGCAGAUACGAAAGUAGGUCAUAGUGAUCCGGUGGU